rnacentral:rRNA from 1 species
AACGAACGCUGGCGGCAUGCCUAACACAUGCAAGUCGAACGAGACCUUCGGGUCUAGUGGCGCACGGGUGCGUAACGCGUGGGAACCUGCCCUUAGGUUCGGAAUAACUCCCCGAAAGGGGUGCUAAUACCGGAUAAUGUCUUCGGACCAAAGAUUUAUCGCCUUUGGAUGGGCCCGCGUUGGAUUAGCUAGUUGGUAGGGUAAAAGCCUACCAAGGCGACGAUCCAUAGCUGGUCUGAGAGGAUGAUCAGCCACACUGGGACUGAGACACGGCCCAGACUCCUACGGGAGGCGGCAGUGGGGAAUAUUGGACAAUGGGCGAAAGCCUGAUCCAGCAAUGCCGCGUGAGUGAUGAAGGCCUUAGGGUUGUAAAGCUCUUUUACCCGGGAUGAUAAUGACAGUACCGGGAGAAUACGCUCCGGCUAACUCCGUG